CAGAAGAAGCANCGGNNUAANUCCGUGCCAGCAGCNGCGGUAAUACGGAGGGUNCANGCGUUANUNGGNANUUACUGGGCGUAAAGCGCACGCNGGCGGUUGANUGANUCAGAUGUGAANUCCCCGGGCUUAACCCGGGAAUUGCAUNUGAUACUGNUCAGNNNGAGUNNGUAGAGGGGGGUAGAAUUCCAUGUGNAGCGGUGAANUGCGUAGAGAUGUGGAGGAAUACCGGUGGCGAAGGCGGCCCCCUGGACAAAGANUGACGCUCAGGUGCGAAAGCGUGGGGAGCAAACAGGAUUAGAUACCNUGGUAGUCCACGCUGUAAACGAUGUCGACUUGGAGGUUGUGCCCNUGAGGCGUGGCUUCCGGAGCUAACGCGUUAAGUCGACCGCCUGGGGAGUACGGCCGCAAGGUUAAAACUCAAAUGAAUUGACGGGGGCCCGCACAAGCGGUGGAGCAUGUGGUUUAAUUCGAUGCAACGCGAAGAACCUUACCUACUCUUGACAUCCAGAGAACUUUNCAGAGAUGNNUUGGUGCCUUCGGGAACUCUGAGACAGGUGCUGCAUGGCUGUCGUCAGCUCGUGUUGUGAAAUGUUGGGUUAAGUCCCGCAACGAGCGCAACCCUUAUCCUUUGUUGCCAGCGCGURAUGGCGGGAACUCAAAGGAGACUGCCGGUGAUAAACCGGAGGAAGGUGGGGAUGACGUCAAGUCAUCAUGGCCCUUACGAGUAGGGCUACACACGUGCUACAAUGGCGUAUACAAAGGGAAGCGACCCCGCGAGGGCAAGCGGAACUCAUAAAGUACGUCGUAGUCCGGAUUGGAGUCUGCAACUCGACUCCAUGAAGUCGGAAUCGCUAGUAAUCGUAGAUCAGAAUGCUACGGUGAAUACGUUCCCGGGCCUUGUACACACCGCCCGUCACACCAUGGGAGUGGGUUGCAAAAGAAGUAGGUAGCUUAACNUNCGGGAGGGCGCUUA
rnacentral:rRNA from 1 species